rnacentral:rRNA from 1 species
UACGUAGGGUGCAAGCGUUAAUCGGAAUUACUGGGCGUAAAGCGUGCGCAGGCGGCUAUGCAAGACAGAUGUGAAAUCCCCGGGCUUAACCUGGGAACUGCAUUUGUGACUGCAUGGCUAGGGUACGGUAGAGGGGGAUGGAAUUCCGCGUGUAGCAGUGAAAUGCGUAGAUAUGCGGAGGAACACCGAUGGCGAAGGCAAUCCCCUGGACCUGUACUGACGCUCAUGCACGAAAGCGUGGGGAGCAAACAGG